AUACGGAGGGGGCAAGCGUUGUUCGGAAUUACUGGGCGUAAAGGGCGCGUAGGCGGACAAUUAAGUCAGAGGUGAAAGCCCUGGGCUCAACCUAGGAACUGCCUUUGAAACUGAUAGUCUCGAGUCCGAGAGAGGAUGGCGGAAUUCCCAGUGUAGAGGUGAAAUUCGUAGAUAUUGGGAAGAACACCAGUGGCGAAGGCGGCCAUCUGGCUCGGUACUGACGCUGAGGCGCGAAAGCGUGGGGAGCAAACAGGAUUAGAUACCCCAGUAGUCC
rnacentral:rRNA from 1 species